rnacentral:lncRNA from 1 species
GUCGAGGGGAAUAUCUUGCACACAAACGCAGGGGAUGUGUCCAUUUUAAAGUGGAGAUCUCCAGCUCUUAAGGAGACAUGGGACUUGGACAGUCCAGGAGGACGUCGGUUAGCGAUGAAGACCCAGCCGAGGUCAAUUUUGACCACUUUCAGAUUUUGAGAGCCAUCGGCAAAGGCAGUUUUGGGAAGGUUUGCAUUGUUCAGAAAAAGGACACCAAGAAAAUGUACGCCAUGAAGUAUAUGAACAAACUUAAAUGCGUGGAGCGCAAUGAGGUGCGCAAUGUCUUCAAAGAGCUCCAGAUCAUGCAGAACCUGGAGCAUCCUUUCCUGGUCAACUUCUGGUACUCGUUUCAAGAUGAGGAGGACAUGUUCAUGGUUGUAGACCUGCUGCUGGGAGGAGAUCUGCGCUAUCAUCUACAGCAGAACGUUCACUUUACGGAGAGCACCGUCAAACACUACGUGUGUGAAAUCGCUCUGGCUUUGCACUAUCUGCGCAACAAACGCAUCAUCCACAGAGACAUUAAGCCAGACAACAUUUUACUGGACGAGCACGGUCAUGCACACCUGACAGAUUUCAACAUAGCUGCUAUUGUGAAGGAAGACUUAAAAGCCACAUCUAUUGCAGGAACAAAGCCAUAUAUGGCCCCAGAACUCUUCCAGCUGGUGGAGGGCACACAUCCAGGCUACUCUUUCGAUGUGGACUGGUGGUCUUUAGGGAUUACUGCGUAUGAGCUUCUCCGUGGACAGAGGCCGUACAUCAUGCGCACCAACACACCAGCCAAUGAGAUCCUGCAGACGUUCCACAAAGCACAGCCCUGCUACCCUGCGGCCUGGUCUUCAGGGAUCAAAUCCCUCCUAAAUAUGCUGUUGUGUGUGGAUGCUCAGAAGAGGAUUUCCAGUCUCUCGGAGCUCCAGGAUCUGGAAUAUCUCUCGGAUGUCAACUGGGAUGCUGUGCUCAGCAAACAAAUCCCUCCUGGAUUCCUCCCUAAUAGGCGGCGUCUGAACUGUGACCCCACAUUUGAGCUGGAGGAGAUGAUCCUGGAGUCCAAACCACUGCACAAAAAGAAGAAGAGGCUGGCGAGGAAGACCAGGGAGAACGGCUCGGAUGGAUCUCCUCAGAACGGGCAUAUCCAGCAGCGCUUAGAGACUGUCCAAAGAGAUUUCAUCGUCUUCAACAGAGAAAAGUUGAGGAAAACCAGAGCAGAUACCGAGACCAACAACCUCAGCACAGAAGAGACAAGCAAAGCCAUUCAAGAUGGACAGAACAACAAUGUACAGCUUAACAGUUAGCAUUUAGCCCGAUCAUCCUUUUCAAUCAACGCUUUCAGCAAAGCAAUCGCCACCGCAGUUUCCAGCAGAAUGCAUGAGAACAUCCAUUCAGGACAGACUGGAGCAUCUGAAUGGACGCUUCCACCUCGUGUGACCCUCUGCAUUAAAACUGAUGGUGUGCGGUGGUUUAGUGAACACCGCACAUGCAGAAAUAACUGAAUGAUGAUGCUCUCUGGACCUGGCUGUGAAAUGUGUGCCUUACUAGCGAAUGGAUUUCCCUAAUGCGUCUGGAGGCACAUGGAGAUUUACUGCUGUCUGAUUCAGCGAGCGAUCAGACUCCGAGCCGUUCGCCGGGAUUUAUACAGCUGCUCUUGUUGCAGAGAACACAAACAUAUUUAGUUCAGCUCAUUACGCCUACCGUAUGUGAUUAAUACAGUGUGAAUCUUUACAGAGCUGCAAAAAAAAACAUCCUGUCAUUAAUGCCGUAGAGGAGAUUAUUUGGCCUUUCUAGAUCUUUUGGUUUUGGAUUCGUUGCUGGAUCCCUGAAUAAGAUAUUGAUCACACUGUACAGAUGAAAUAAUAAUAAUAAUAAAGAGUUUAAUAGCAGCAUCUGACAAGUCUGAUUGAGGUUGUGCAUGGUUGAGGUAGACUGGCUCAUCUGUAAAGCCAGAUAAACACAGCACAUUUUCAGCUAAGCCAGCGUUUCUCUAACUUAUUCUGCCAUUCACCACUUGGACGUAGGGAUGGCUUGCUCUAAUAAUCAGACCCUCCACAAUUUUACGAUCCAGCGAUUGCUGACUAAUGCAAAAUCAAGCAAAUUUUUUUGGCAUUCUUAUUAUUAUUAAUAUUAUAUAUAUAUAUAUAUAUAUAUAUAUAUAUAUAUAUUUUUUUUUUUCCUUCUUUUAAGGGUUUUCAUCUUUAUUUGGCUAGGACAGUGGAGAUUUUACAGACAGGAAAGAGUGGGGAGCAGAGAUAGGGACAGGAUCGGCAAAAGACCUCGAGCCGGGAAUCGAACUCGGGUCGCCGUGAGCACCUUGGUGCUAUGUGUCGACGCACUAACCACUAGGCUAUUACCGCCGACAUUAAUAUUAUAUUUUUUAUAUUUUAAGAUUUUCAAAUAUGAUGAAGUUUUUCUCAGUGUUUCGUUUUCUUUAUAUGAAUGACAGAAAAAAAUUUAAUAAAGAAUUAUUCAACGCAAUCUCACGGCAAUUCGUAACUUUUUGAUUUAAUGGCUAAUUUGUAUGAAUUCAAUUUAGUACGAUUUGCUCAUCACCCAAUGACGGUUGGGGUUAUGGGUGGGGUUUGGUGCCACGCCUCCUUUUUAAAAUCUUACAUUUUCGUACGACUGAACUUGUACGAAUUUGUACGAAUUAGCCACUAAUGCCUAGUUCAGACUGCGUGAUUUUAGCCACGAUUUUGGCUCGACGACAGGUUUUGAGAAAUCGCCGACUAAUGCCUGAAAUCACAAGUAAAUCGCUGCACGUGCACGUGAGUGGCAAUCACAAAAUAUGAAUUAUCAAAGACGCGAAAGAAUCGCAGAUGAGUCGCUGAUGCCUGCGAGAUAUUUGGCGUGCUGAAUAUCUGGAGCUGUCUGCGAUUCAAAUCAUGCCGUGUGAAAUGAGUUUUGACUGAAAAUAACAUCAGCCAUACAGCCAAUGAGAGAGCAGCAUUCACUUGUGUGUGUGCAUGUGUGUAUACCUGCUGCAGGCCAGCGGGAGGCUGGGGGAGAAGUUAAAAGCGCUCUUUUUCGGUUUAUUUGGACUCACGAAAUGGAGGAAAAACUAGUGGAGGUUUGACAGGACUCAGGAGCAACCGUGUCGGUUUGACAUUUCAUACAGAAAGAAAUUAGUUUAUUAUCAACAGUGAGGAGAAAUGGCUAAUUCCCUUUAAACCCAGGUGAGCAAACAUGUACAUGUUCUACCCCAUUAAAGGCUUCUUUCUCAUUAUGUAGUUAAUAACAAAAGAUAUACUACAUGUUUUUGGCUGUGAGACGUAGUUUGGACGUAGUUGUCGGCGAUUCUUCCUAUAGUAAAGUCAUGCAAUGUGAAAGUCCCUGUCGCCGAUCCAUCUUGCAGUGUUAACAAAGCAGCGAUGAAAUGCAAGCCCAGAUAGUCAAGCAGUGUGAAAACAUCUGUGACACGACUACUUUGAAAAUCAUGCAGUCUGAACUCGGCAUAAACUGGCAAAACAUAAAAUACUUACGUUUCCUCGUGAGAUCAGGCUGAAUUAUUCAUUUAUUCAUUUUAUUUUUGGCGUAGUCUCUUUAAUAAUACAGGGUCGCCACAGCGGAAUGAACCGUCAACUUAUCCAGCAUCUGUUUCACACAGCCGAUGCCCUUCCAGUUGCAACCCGUCUCUGGGAAACAUCCAUACACACUCAUUCACACACAUACACUACGGACAAAGCUUACCCAAUUCACCUGUACAGCAUGUCUUUGGGCUGUGGGGGAAACCGGAGCACCCAGAGGAAACCCACACAAACGCAGGGAGAACAUGCAAACUCCACACAGAAACGCCAACUGACCCAGCCGAGGCUCGAACCAGCGACCUUCUUGCUGUGAGGCGACAGCACUGCGCCACUGCGUUGCCAUAAAGAAUUGUAAUGAAGCUAAAUUGUCCAUAGUGUAUGAGUGUGAAUGAAAGUGUAUGGGUGUUUCCCAGUGAUAAAUGGUAAAAAUAUUGGUGUCUUUGAUGCAGUGUCCAGAGCCUGUUGUGUACACCAUGGUUUUAAAUAAAAUUCACUUUAAUGUGUGAUACGACUAAAAGGUGGCCCUAAACAAAUACCCUCAUAGCAAAAUAUCUCUGGUCCAGUUCUGGCCCAAACAAUCGGCUAUUGCUUGGCCCACAUGCCGCAGUGAAUUGUGGUACAUGACUGGACCAAAUCUGGCUUCCAGACAAGGGUUAAACAUGGACCAUAUCUGGUCCGAGUCUCAGCCAAGUUAAUAAUCUAUAACAGCCUGAAUUGGGUCAGAUAUAUUGGUGUAUCACGACUGCAGUGACCCACAAAGCGAACGGACUUGGCCCAAAUGUGGCCUCAUUAUUGCACUGCUGGCGUGUUGACGACACUGGCAUGCAUGUCAGCCGAAUGUGGGCCAUGCAUGGCAAUGAUGGCACUGCAUGCAUGAUGGCAAACUACAUUUGGGCCAGUUGUGGACGGUAGGUGUGUGGCCCGGAUCAGUGUAGCGAUUGUUCACAUCAGGUAAUGUUAGGCUGGAUUAUGGCUCAGUUUUUGGGGUUUCCCUGCUGGUUGUGGUUAAAGUAUAAACUUAUAGCUGAGAAUCUGUACCAAUAAUAAACCUGUUUUGACCCAGUUCAGGGUCAGUUAAGGGUGAUAAAUUGGCUGAGAUUCGGGACUUGUGGCCCAUGUGUGGCCCUUGUCUUUAAUCCAGUUAUGGGCCACUUCAUGACCGUCAUUCUUUGCGGUACUUGUGCCGUGGGAAAAGUUAUUGUGUGGCAUGGAGCUGGGCCAGAAAACAUUUGCUAUGUGGGGAAACUGAUAAAUCCAUUAAUCAUUGUGCUUUAGGUAUGCUAUGGGCGUGCUUUUUAUAAAGCGACUUUUUUUGGAAAUAAUAAAAAUGUAUUUUGGGUCAAGAUAGGUCGAACUUACAUGGCCCACAUAUCAAUUAUUAACAUCUGGCCCAAGUAUUGUGUGCCGCCUUAAAUACGGUGCCACCUCUGCUAAACCAGGGCCAUGUUUGACCUACAUGCUGUAUGCCAGUGCCGGAUGAAUGCCUGCUGUGCCAAACUUAUGCCAAAUCUGGGCCAGAAUUCUUUGCUAUCUGGGUAUUAACUCAAUUCAAAUCUACAUCACGACUUAGCAAGCAGAUAGUUGUAGAUUCAAAAACAAGAUGCUAGUUAGCUAUGCUAAUGAGAGAGAGAUCGUCACUAGUGAGCGGGGCUUUCCCCCUCUGAUGACACGUACAAAGCGUGAAUGUCAAUCAAAGUGUUUCUGCAGACGGUUUUUAUGAAGUGUGAUGAUAAAAAAUACAAUUAAUACAUUUGUACCAUUAGAAGGUAGUUAUAUUCACACACUGCUGCCACACAACUGUAUUUAAACCCCUUAUAAAAGUGAUUUGUGCGUAAUAGGUGCCCUCAAUGAAUGCGUGUAAUGAAUAAGGCGAGACAGCAGGAGGACACCUGUGCUGUGGAGUUCAUCUGCGGUACUAAUGAAACACACAUGAAGAAGCUUUGAGUCCUCAGAAACACCCCGGCCGGUGUUGAAGCAGAUGAGAGACACUAUGCUGGACACCUUCAGGAACAGCUUCGCUUUAAAUGACUCAAAGUGUGGAGAGAGUUUUCUUACAACAUUGCU